rnacentral:rRNA from 1 species
UACGAAGGGGGCUAGCGUUGCUCGGAAUUACUGGGCGUAAAGGGCGCGUAGGCGGACAGUUUAGUCAGAGGUGAAAGCCCAGGGCUCAACCUUGGAAUUGCCUUUGAUACUGGCUGUCUUGAGUACGGGAGAGGUGAGUGGAACUGCGAGUGUAGAGGUGAAAUUCGUAGAUAUUCGCAAGAACACCAGUGGCGAAGGCGGCUCACUGGCCCGUAACUGACGCUGAGGCACGAAAGCGUGGGGAGCAAACAGG